UGCAUAAGGAAGUAAGACAGUGAAAUAAAGUGUUUAGUCUUACUUACAAAUAUGUUUUGUAAUAUCAAAUCAUUUUAUAACGAUAUGUAUGUGAUGUAUGCGCCUAAACGUUUCUCAGAGACGUUUCCUUUCACUCGCGAAGCGGAACAGACAAGGACUUUUUUUCAAAAGGGAAAAUCUCAUUUAAAAUAUAUAUUUUAUAGCAUCACAUUGAUUUAAGGUGAUAUUUAUGCGGUGUACAUUCCUAAACCUUUUCCCAGUGCGAUAUUUCCUUUCACCAGCGAUGCGAAAGUUGACAGGGAAGUUGGUUUUAACAAGGAAAACACAGACAGUUAAGUAGUAACAAUUUGAAUUGCUCUGCAGUGCGCAGAUGUGGAGGUCACUUGGAAACACCAGAAAGAUAUUUUCUUUCCCUCGCGAUGCUCUGGAGCAGAUGGGGAAAUUGGUCUUAACAAGGAAAAGACCAAAAAUGGUUCAUGCUGGCUUAACAGAACAAUCAAAAGGAGAUGAUGUGUUUGAAGAGUAUGAAGCCACCAAUACAUGAGUAAGCC